rnacentral:rRNA from 1 species
CAGGCUUAACACAUGCAAGUCGAGGGGCAGCAUGGUCUUAGCUUGCUAAGGCCGAUGGCGACCGGCGCACGGGUGAGUAACACGUAUCCAACCUGCCGUCUACUCUUGGACAGCCUUCUGAAAGGAAGAUUAAUACAAGAUGGCAUCAUGAGUCCGCAUGUUCACAUGAUUAAAGGUAUUCCGGUAGACGAUGGGGAUGCGUUCCAUUAGAUAGUAGGCGGGGUAACGGCCCACCUAGUCUUCGAUGGAUAGGGGUUCUGAGAGGAAGGUCCCCCACAUUGGAACUGAGACACGGUCCAAACUCCUACGGGAGGCAGCAGUGAGGAAUAUUGGUCAAUGGGCGAGAGCCUGAACCAGCCAAGUAGCGUGAAGGAUGACUGCCCUAUGGGUUGUAAACUUCUUUUAUAAAGGAAUAAAGUCGGGUAUGGAUACCCGUUUGCAUGUACUUUAUGAAUAAGGAUCGGCUAACUCCGUGCCAGCAGCCGCGGUAAUACGGAGGAUCCGAGCGUUAUCCGGAUUUAUUGGGUUUAAAGGGAGCGUAGAUGGAUGUUUAAGUCAGUUGUGAAAGUUUGCGGCUCAACCGUAAAAUUGCAGUUGAUACUGGAUAUCUUGAGUGCAGUUGAGGCAGGCGGAAUUCGUGGUGUAGCGGUGAAAUGCUUAGAUAUCACGAAGAACUCCGAUUGCGAAGGCAGCCUGCUAAGCUGCAACUGACAUUGAGGCUCGAAAGUGUGGGUAUCAAACAGGAUUAGAUACCCUGGUAGUCCACACGGUAAACGAUGAAUACUCGCUGUUUGCGAUAUACUGCAAGCGGCCAAGCGAAAGCGUUAAGUAUUCCACCUGGGGAGUACGCCGGCAACGGUGAAACUCAAAGGAAUUGACGGGGGCCCGCACAAGCGGAGGAACAUGUGGUUUAAUUCGAUGAUACGCGAGGAACCUUACCCGGGCUUAAAUUGCAGAUGAAUUACGGUGAAAGCCGUAAGCCGCAAGGCAUCUGUGAAGGUGCUGCAUGGUUGUCGUCAGCUCGUGCCGUGAGGUGUCGGCUUAAGUGCCAUAACGAGCGCAACCCUUGUUGUCAGUUACUAACAGGUUCCGCUGAGGACUCUGACAAGACUGCCACCGUAAGAUGUGAGGAAGGUGGGGAUGACGUCAAAUCAGCACGGCCCUUACGUCCGGGGCUACACACGUGUUACAAUGGGGGGUACAGAGGGCCGCUACCACGCGAGUGGAUGCCAAUCCCCAAAACCUCUCUCAGUUCGGACUGGAGUCUGCAACCCGACUCCACGAAGCUGGAUUCGCUAGUAAUCGCGCAUCAGCCACGGCGCGGUGAAUACGUUCCCGGGCCUUGUACACACCGCCCGUCAAGCCAUGGGAGCCGGGGGUACCUGAAGUGCGUAACCGCGAGGAGCGCCCUAGGGUAAAACUGGUGACUGGGGCUA